rnacentral:rRNA from 1 species
UCAACAUUGACAUUUGCUCAAGACAUUAUCCAUGGGUAAUAGAAUAGGACGUGCGGUUCUAUUUUGUUGAUUUCUAGGACCGCCGUAAUGAUUAAUAAGGAUAGUCGGGGGCGUCAGUAUUCAGCUGUCAGAGGUGAAAUUCUUGGAUUUGCUGAAGACUAACUACUGCGAAAGCAUUCGCCAAGGAUGUUUUCAUUAAUCAGGGAACGAAAGUUAGGGGAUCGAAGACGAUCAUAUACCGUCGUAGCUUAACCAUAAACUAUGCCGACUAGGGAUCGGACGGGCUUCUAUGAUGACCCGUUCGGCACCUUACGAAAAAUCAAAGUUUUUGGGUUCUGGGGGGAGUAUGC